GCAGAGUGUAGAGGAUAAGACGUAAUAACAAAAUAGGUUAAAAAGUUUGAUAAUACAGAUUUAUAUAAAACACAGAAAACAUCAGACAAGAGAAACCAGUCUUUGGAGGACUUUGGGGAAUGCCAUUUGGAUGGUGUCUUAAAAAAAUGAGGAGUUCCCUUCAUGGCUCAGUGGUUAACGAACCUGACUAGCAUCCAUGAGGACGCAGGUUCGAUCCCUGGCCUCGCUCAGUGAGUUAAGGAUCUGGCGUUGCCAUGAGCUGUGGUGUGGGUCACAAUGUGGCUCAGAUCCCAUGUUGCUGUGGCUGUGGUAUAGGCCAGCAGCUGCAAGCUCCGAUUUGACCCCUAGCCUGGGAACUUCCAGAUGUCCGGGGUGCAGCCCUAAAAAGACAAAAGACAAAAAAAAAAAAAAAAUGAGUGGAGGAAAAACUUUUCUAACAGAAGGUCUAGCACCUGUAAAGGAGGUGUAAACAUGCAUAACAUAGUUGAAGAAACUGUGGAAAGUUUGGUUUGGCUGGGACAAAAAGUUAAUAUGCAUGAGUGCCAAGAGAUAAGACUGGAAAAGUAGGCUGGAGCCAGAUGGGAAGGGCCUUUAAUGCCAGUCUAAGGAAUUUGGAUUUGACCCCAUAGUCAGGGCGUGGACCAUUGAAGGUCACUAAGCGGGGGAUGAACGUGAUCUUAAGUUUUAGAGAGAGAACCUUGUUCGUAAUGUACUAGACGGACUGGAGAGAGGCUCGAGGCAGGGAAGAGAGAGGAGGAUGCAAGGAUCUGCGGAGAGGGGAGGAGACAGUGACAACUUCAAGAAAGUCUCAGUGAGGUGGUACGAAGGAGAAGUUGGAAGAGAGAAAUGGUGCAUUUGACUGUUGGCUAGUUACGUGUUGAUGAAGGAGAAGGUGAGAGUCUUCAAUGACAAGAGGUCUCUAGUUUUGGACUUUGGGGAGUGUCGUCCACGAAUACGGGAAUGCAGAGGAGGAGCAGAGGUUUCGUAGGAAAGAUAAGGAGUCCAGGGCAACAAAGUCAGGGAUGCAGAACCUGUCAACAUCCAGGUGUAGGUUGGCCAUAGGCAUUUGCAGGGUGCGUUCUGGGAUUCAGAAAUUGUGGCAAAGAGCAACCACAGAGCAGGAUGAGAUUCCCCUGGGAACAUGGGCAGAGAUGAAGACCAAGAAUAAAGCCUUGAGGGACUGUGAUAUUUAAGGAGAAUCAGAGGAGGUUGAAAGGCAACAAAGAAAAAAAGAGAAAACCAGGAGACAGAAGUUUCAAGAAAACCAAGGGAGAGGAGAAUUUCAAGAAGAUGGGAUGGUCAUUAAAAGCAAAGAUAUUCAGUUCCCUUGUGGUGCAGCAGGUUAAGGACCUGGCAUUGUUACUGCAGCAGCUUGGUUUACUGUUGCGAUGGGCAUUAGAUCCCUGGCCUGGAAACUUCCACAUGCUAUGGGUGCAGCCAAAAAACAAAACAAAACAAAACCUCCUACAAUUCAACAACAAUAAUAAAAAUCACCCAAUUUUUUUUUUUUUAAAAGUGAAAGAUAUCAAUAGUUCAGAGAUGUGAAGUAGGAUGAGGGCUUUCAGUUCGGCUGUUUAGGUUCUGGGAAAGACCAUGUAAAUCUUGGGGAGCAAAUUCUUUCCAAGCUAUUAGCAAAUACACAUAGGUGCUCAUUCUUUAUAGUCUGUGAAUCAUAUAACAUGACCAUUUGCACAGAUUAAAGGAAAAUUGUAAUUUCCUUUAAAGAAAGCAUUGGUAUGAGAAUUUAGGAGAGGGCCUAAGGUCUGAGAAUCAUUUAUAUUGAGAUGAUGUUCAAAACCUCGAGAACAAGUGCAUUUUUGAGGCAGAAAAGAGCAGAAAGUUAAGAUUGGAUGCUAAGGAAAGCCUCAACAUUAUGCUUAGCACAGAAGAAAAAUAAGUGCCUGGUAAAGGGAGUGAAUAAGGCGUAGUCUGGAAAGUUGGAAAACCUCCUACAAUUCAAUAGCAGUAAUAGGACAUCAUAAUAUAGAUUGAUGAUUCAUCCAGUGGAGUUUCCAGAACCUCCUCAAGGUUCUUUGAGGUCUUUUUCUUUUUGGGCCGCACCCACAGCAUAUGGAGGUUUCCAGGCUAGGGGUCAAAUUGAAGCUACAGCUGCUGGCCUACACCACAGCUUACGGCAACGCCGGAUCCUUAAUCCACUGAGCAAGCCAGGGAUCGAACCCACAUCCUCAUGGAUGCUAGUCAGAUUCAUUCCUGCUGAGCCAUGAUGGGAGCUUCUUUCAGGACUUGAAUUUCAAAUUCUGCAGAGAGAUCAAGGAGAUUGAGGUCUAGAAAAAUGUCCAUAAUAUCUCCACAAGAUCCUUGAAGAUCGGAAAGCGAGAGUUUUCUGGAUAGUUCAGGCCCAGAAGCCAAACCAUCUGUCAUUAGGGAAGGAGAGGAUGGAGAUGGAAUGAAGCCAUCUGUGUCUUGUGUCACAACAGCUCCUGAGUGGGCAUAAAAGCCAAAUGGAUGGUGAGGGUGGAAGCAAGGGUGGAGUGCAGACAAGAUUGUCGGGUGUAGAAUGCACUUGGAAGGAGAAGCAAGUAGAAUUUUGGAGCUUUUUAGGGAAAUAAGCAAACAAAAAAAGGAACACUGAGAGAGCCAAUAAGUGAGAAAGAGGAGUUCCUGUCAUGGCGCAGCGGAAACAAAUCCGACUAGAUACCACGGGGUUUCCGGUUCCAUCCCUGGCCUCGCUCAGUGGGUUAAGGAUCUGGCAUUGCCAUGAGCUGUGGUGUAGGUCACAGAUGUGGCUCAGAUCCCACAUGGCUGUGGCUGUGGUGUAGAGUGGCAGUUACAGCUCCAAUUGGACCCCUAGCCUGGGAACCUCCAUAUGCUGCAGGUACAGCCCUAGAAAAGGCAAAAAGCCAAAAAAAAAAAAAAAAAAAAAAGGAAAAAAAAGU
rnacentral:lncRNA from 1 species